rnacentral:rRNA from 1 species
CCAGCAGCCGCGGUAAUUCCAGCUCCAAUAGCGUAUAUUAAAGUUGUUGCAGUUAAAAAGCUCGUAGUUGGAUUUCUGGCGGGAGCAGCCAGUCCUGCCUCUUGCGAGGUUGUGCACUAGCUCUGUAUCCGGCCAUCCUUGUGGAGAACGUUUCUGGCAUUAAGUUGUUGGUCUCGGGAUCUGCAUCGUUUACUGUGAAAAAAUUAGAGUGUUUAAAGCAGGCCAACGCUUGAAUACAUUAGCAUGGAAUAAUGGAAUAGGACUUUGGUGCUAUUUCGUUGGUUUAUGGGACCGAAGUAAUGAUUAAUAGGGACAGUUGGGGCCGUUUAUAUUCCGUUGUCAGAGGUGAAAUUCUUGGAUUUACGGAAGAUAAACUUCUGCGAAAGCAUUCGGCAAGGAUGUUUUCAUUGAUCAAGAACGAAAGU